UCGACACAGGGAAACAGGCAGCUGCUCUCAGAGGACUGACAGCCACCAGGAGCCUGCAGAGAAAGGGAGAAGUCUGUCCCAGAGGCUCCAGAGGUGUGCAGCCUGCAAACACAUUGUUUUAGCCUCUGGCACCAACCGUGAGGUUACGACCCCACAGUUAUGGAAGGACACGCUGCCUCAGGAAUCGCACUCAACUGCUUAGCAUGCAGGCUGCAGGUGUUUCUUCCAUGAGAGAUACGUGGGGAUGAAUUGCUGGGGAAUCCUUUCCAGUUUCCAGGAUACCUCUUCUUAUAUAUGGGGGACUUCCUGACUCUGAAUGUCCAAAUCCUGCAUUAACUUAUAUGCAGAGACCCAUUCCUUCCUCCCUUUGUAUCACCCUGCUUCUUUUGGUGAAAUGAUGUCAGGCACGUCCACAAGUUGGCUGCUGUCCUGUCUUCUCUCACUAGGGUCUCAAGCUACCUGUCUGCUGAGCUGCAUGCUGUGGGCAUCAGAAAAAAACGUACAGGCCCUCUGCAGCCACCCAUGGAAACAGAAGAGAUUGCAUGCAGAGAUAGAGACACCAAGCUUUCAUACUGCAUAACUAUUCAGGAAUGGACCUGGGAUGCAGCAGACCGGAAACCCAGCCACGGGAGCAGCAGGUACAGAGAUGAGAAGAGCGGGUCCAGGGAGUGACUUUUACCCAGAUCGAUGUAAGUAAGGAUCCUUCAUGCCAGCUGUGUGAAUUUUGGAGCAAAAUCUGAUCGCUCAAGCCUCAGUCUUCUCUUCUACACAACUGGAAUAAGAGCUGUUAUCUGGUAGUGUUGCCAAGCAGUCACGGAGGAAAACAAUGAUGAUGUUCAGUAGGGUCACAAGGUAUGAGUCGAGAAGAAGCUCUGGGCGGCAGUUGCUCUUUUAUUUCAUUUGGAGUGGACAGAGAUGGUGGGUUCCAGGUGGUGGGACAAAGUAGUUCCAGUCCCCACUGGGCAGGACUGAGUCUUCUAUGGCCCUGGAGUCCAGCACAAAGCGAGAAAGUUUCCUAUCUCUGAAGCCAAGGAAGGGGUAGUCGUAACUCUAACAGGUGAGAGGAGCAGGGGGGAAUCAGAGUCCCUAAGGUCACCGGGAACAUCAAUGACAAACCUAUAAAAGGACCAGCAGUUUUAUCUUCAGCCAAGCAAAGCAGAAAGAAUCCUUCCCCAAAUCUCCUGGGGUGAGAGGACUUUGUCUACCAACUGCUGUCCCUGCCUCACCUCCACUUGCCCAAACACCAGCUCAGGCAGGCGAGGCUGGCAAUGCCCCAUGACCUCCAGCUGCCUGUGCGAAGAGGAAACUGGGCUCAGGACAGGUGCAGCUACUCCAGGAUGCUACCGGAGCCACACUGGCUGAGCCGGGCCUAUAUACCGCUGACUCAGACAUUAAGAGAUAGAGACACCAGCUCAGGGGAGUAAGUUCACCUGGGAAAUUCUGGCAGGGCAGACACGUGGUAAUGGUUGGCUGCACCUGGACAGCCUUCACUCUCAAUCAGUGGGAGGCCUCUGAGGGCCCAGAGAAGCCGCAGGCUGAAUUUGUACAUCUCAAAGCUGGGUCUCAACAGAUCCCAACUCAGCACAUUCCUGGACCAUCCCCAGUACACAGCAACACACAUCUGUCAACACCACACAAGCUUGUCCCAGCCUUCAUCUUUGCAUAUACUCGGAUCUCUGUCUGCCCUUACCUGGCCUCUAAUUCUUGCUAACCUAUGUUCUCUCAGCAGGGUUCCCUGUUUCCUAAGGCUUUAAGCCAUAGGCUGCCACCAACUUUCAUGUCCUCAGCCUGGUCCCUCUUUCCCUCUGUCAAGGAUAUGCUAAAGGUCACUGUGUCUCUUACCUGCAUCAGAUGGAAGUCUCUAGAAAAUAGAACUGGCCUCUGACUUAAAGCAACUGUCUCAAAUGCAAUAUUUACAAAGGAUCUACAACUUCCUCCCACCCUUUCCCUCUUCCUCCCCCAAAGACUGAAUUCCUACUAAGUACCAGGCUGGAGGGAGCCAGUAACAGCUUGUAUGAAAUAUGAAUUGUUUGACACGUGCAGGGUCAUGACAAGGACCAGCUCCUCAGUCCCAUGAAAUAGCAAAUCCUUGAAUGUGAAUAUUGAUCUUGUGUACAGAAAAUGUUCACCAUAGCUUUCUGCCCUCCACCAAGAUGCUCUAGCCUGAAGGCUGCUGUCCUGCAGACUGCUCCUAUCAAGAUCAGCUAGACCUGCCUCCUGCCGCAGCUCCGAAUCAUAAACCCUGCCUCCUUGUUUAUCUGUUAUAUAAUAAGUCCACCCUCUUGGUUAUCUGUUUGUAAUAACCCUCCUUUCUUGUUUAUCUGUAUGCAAUAACUCUGUCUCCUAGCAUAUUUGUAUCAAUAACCCUACCUUCCUGUUCAGGUGUAUAUAACAAACUGAGUCCAGGGUGCAAUGGCUUCUCCAUUUGAGAGCCCAGAUUACUCAACCCCAGUGUUUCUGCAUCCAUGUGUCUGUCUUGUCUUCAUUUUCCUUGCCACCCCUAGUAGGCAGUCCAGGGCCCAAGUCAUACAGGGACUCAGCAC